CUGAUGAUAGCUAUUUUUUGCUAAAUAUCAGUGCUCCCAUUGCAACUUUUUUUUUGUUGUUUUUGCCCUUCAACAAAUAUACUGACAAAACUAAUGGUCAGAGAAGUAUCAGGAAAAUGUAUGUGACAUUAGCAAACAUGAACAGGUUUUGUUUUUUUACUGAACUUCAGGCUCUAAAUACCACAAGGGUGAUGAUUUUGCCUCUUCUCAAAUACAGUGUGUCCCCACAGCUGCACGCUUGAUGUCAGAAUGACUGCUAUGUGUUGGUGAACACCUAAGCAGGGUCAUAAGUGGAACAGGUGCCUCUGAUUUACACUGAAGUCUGAGCUGACCCUGGAGGUUUGUAGUCAUCCUUGUUUUCCUUCUCCUGUGGUGUCAUACAGCCAACCAAGGGCCAAUCCACUGAACUUCCAAGUCACAGCACAUCUCUGCACAUCAUAGCCAGAGUAGCAGUCCAACACAAAUGGGACCUCACUUUCCCCAAUAACAGGGUAAGUAAUCAUGACAGAGGGUCACACUCUCCUUCACAACUUGUUGGCAUUGAUUCCAUACUCUUCUGUUUGUCUCAUGUGCUAGUGUACACAGUCCACUUUUAUUUAAUUGCCUGUUUGUCCUAGGAUCUCCUUUUUUAUCGCAUUUCCUGAAACAUCUCUGUGCCUUGUGCCUCAGUAGUCACAACACUGUCUUCAGCUCCCCACAGUGACCUUGGCAUGUCCUUACUGUUGCUGCGGUGGCUGCACAAGUGAUGGAUAUUAACAGGUCAGACUGUGUGAAGGAUUUGGGAGACAGAGUCUAUUCUUAUCUCUGUCACUUGGCUUAGUGGGUCACCUUGGAGGAGUACCUUCCCUGUUAAGUCUCCUCGUAUGUAGGAAGAGAUAUUUAAUAUUUCUGGAAGAAAAG
rnacentral:lncRNA from 1 species